rnacentral:rRNA from 1 species
GACGAACGCUGGUGGCGUGCUUAACACAUGCAAGUCGAACGGGAUUUAGUAAGCAGAAGCCUCGGUGGAAGAUUACUAAUGAGAGUGGCGAACGGGUGAGUAACGCGUGAGCAACCUGCCUAUGACAGUGGGAUAGCCUCGGGAAACCGGGAUUAAUACCGCAUAAAAUCGUAGAAACACAUGUUUUAACGGUCAAAGAUUUAUCGGUCAUAGAUGGGCUCGCGUCUGAUUAGCUAGUUGGUGAGAUAACAGCCCACCAAGGCGACGAUCAGUAGCCGGUCUGAGAGGAUGAACGGCCACAUUGGAACUGAGACACGGUCCAAACUCCUACGGGAGGCAGCAGUGGGGAAUAUUGCACAAUGGGGGAAACCCUGAUGCAGCGACGCCGCGUGAACGAAGAAGGUAUUCGUAUCGUAAAGUUCUGUCCUAUGGGAAGAUAAUGACAGUACCAUAGAAGAAAGCUCCGGCUAAAUACGUG